UACGUAGGGGGCAAGCGUUGUCCGGAAUCAUUGGGCGUAAAGAGCGUGUAGGCGGCCCGGUAAGUCCGCUGUGAAAGUCCAGGGCUCAACCCUGGGAUGCCGGUGGAUACUGUCGGGCUCGAGUCCGGAAGAGGAGUGUGGAAUUCCUGGUGUAGCGGUGAAAUGCGCAGAUAUCAGGAGGAACACCAGUGGCGAAGGCGGCUACCUGGCCCACUCUUGACGCUGAGGCGCGAAAGCUAGGGGAGCAAACGGG
rnacentral:rRNA from 1 species